rnacentral:rRNA from 1 species
AGAUUGAACGCUGGCGGCAGGCCUAACACAUGCAAGUCGAGCGGCAGCACGGGUACUUGUACCUGGUGGCGAGCGGCGGACGGGUGAGUAAUGCCUAGGAAUCUGCCUGGUAGUGGGGGAUAACGCUCGGAAACGGACGCUAAUACCGCAUACGUCCUACGGGAGAAAGCAGGGGACCUUCGGGCCUUGCGCUAUCAGAUGAGCCUAGGUCGGAUUAGCUAGUUGGUGAGGUAAUGGCUCACCAAGGCGACGAUCCGUAACUGGUCUGAGAGGAUGAUCAGUCACACUGGAACUGAGACACGGUCCAGACUCCUACGGGAGCAGCGAGUGGGAAUAGUGGACAAGUGGGCAAAGCCUGAUCCAGCCAGUGCCGCGUGUGU